UUAAUUACCUAUCUUAGGAUGCUUAAUUAGAUGGAAAACCUCCAAGUUCGAGAACAAGGUCAUAUUAAUCUCUGCCUCCAAGAGCCAAGGGAAGUGCCUGGAUCAUACACGAAGUCCCUCACUAGAUGCUGGCACCAUGUUCUUGGACUUUCCAGCCUUCAGAACUGUGAGCCAAAUAUAUUUCUGUUCAUUACAGAUUAUAUAUAUAGUCUGUAUUAUUCUGUUAUUGCACCAUAAGGUAGACUAAGACACUUUUAAUAUAAAUUUCUUGUCAUUUAUUUUUUAAAUUAUCUUUAGAUGCAGGAAUCUGGGUUAUGAAGUCGUGAAAAAUGGAAGAAGAAAAAACUGAGUCCAGUCAUACACCACAUAACAAUAUCGCAGUCAAUAAUGGACUGCAGAUGAGAUGGCGGUCCCAUAAGAUUAUAAUGAAACUGAAAAAUUCUUGUUGCCUGAUGAUAUCAUAGCCAUCAAAACUUCCUAGUGCAACACAUUAGUCAUGUGUUUGUGGUGAUGCUGAUGUAAACAAACCAGCUGUGCUGUGCUACCAGUUGUACAGAAGGAUAGCACAUACAAUUUUGUACAGUACAUAAUACUUGAUAAUAAAUGACUAUGUUACUGGUUUAUGUACUUAUCAUUCUGUACUUUUUAUCAUUAUUUUAGAGUAUUGAACUUCUACUUACAAAAAAAUGUUAACGUGUAAAAAACCUCUGGCAUGUUCAUCAGGAGGUAUUGCAGAAGAAGGCAGUAAUAGAAGGGAUAACAGUUCCAUGUGGGGUAUUGCCCCUGAAAGCCUUCCCAGUGGGACAAGAUGAGGUGGAAGAUAGUGAUAUUGAUUAUUCUGACCCUGUGUAGGCCUAGGGCAAUGUAUGUGUUUGCAGCUUAGUUUUUAACAAGAAGUUUAAAAAUUAAAACUUUAAAUAGAUAAAAGCUUAUAGAAUAAGGAUAUAAAUGAUAAAAUAUUCUUGUAUAGCUGUACAAUGUUUUUGUGUUUUAAUCUGUUAUUACAAAACAGUCAAAAAGUUUAAAACAACUAAAAAGUUUAUAAAGUAAAAAUGUUAUAGUAAUAUGAAGUCAAUUCAUUAAGAAAGUUUUAAAAAUUGGUGUAGCCUAAGGCGCUUUGUUCAUAGUCUACAGUAGUGUAUAGUAAUGUCCUGGGCCUUCAUAUUUAUUUAACAGUCACUCAUGGACUCACCCAGAUCAACUUCCAGUUCUGCAAGCUCCAUUCUUAGUAAGUGCCCUAUACAGAUGUGCUGUUUGCUUUUACUUUUAGUCUUUCAUACCAUAUAUUUGCUGUCUCUUUUCUAUGUUUAAAUACCAAAUACCAGUGUGUCACAAUUGCUUUCAGUGUUUGGUACAGUAAUUGUGCUAUAUAGGUUUAUUGCCUAGGAGCAACAGGCUACCCCAUAGAGCCUAGGUGUAUUGUAGGCCAUACCAUCCAGGUUGGUGUAAGUACACUCUAUGAUGCUCACACAAUGAUGACAUCACCUAACGAUGCAUUUCUCCAAUUGUAUCCCAUUAUUAAGGGAUGCAUGACUCUAUUUUAGUGAUGGCUGUACAAAUCUCAAAGAAAAGUGGAGAAGACUAGGGCCAAGAUGGAGGGGCCAAGAAGUUACAAUUUGAGGAUGCUUUUUCUCAUUCAUUCAUUUAGUCAGUAAUUUUUUAUUCAGCAUCUACUGUGUCU
rnacentral:lncRNA from 1 species